UGCCAGCCGCCGCGGUAACACGGGGGGCGCAAGCGUUAUUCGGAAUUAUUGGGCGUAAAGGGCGCGCAGGCGGUCUUGUCCGUCAGGUGUGAAAGCUCGGGGCUCAACCCCGGAAGUGCACUUGAAACAGCAAGACUUGAAUACGGUAGAGGAGAGAGGAAUUCCUGGUGUAGAGGUGAAAUGCGUAGAUAUCUAGAGGAACGCCGGUGGCGAAAGCGGUACCCUGGCCUGUCACUGACGCUGAGGCGCGAAAGCGUGGGUAGCAAACAGGAUUAGAUA
rnacentral:rRNA from 1 species